UAACGGCUUAUCACACUCACACCUGGUGGCAUGUCAUUGGACCUUUAAUAGCUUCUGAUCCGCUUUGCAUCAGUCAGACAGGACAGAGGUCAAAGAUGUCAAAAUAAAAGUUCCACUCGGUAAAUUAUUUCAUAGCUGUUAAGUUACCACCCUACUUCCAUUGAUCAGUCUAGUGGCUUGGAAGCUGGACGACCAGCCAGACCUGUAGGUCUCCCCAGCUCCUUCAGGAUCUGAAUCUGAAUCUAGCGGUGGAUGAAGACCAACGGCGCGUUUCACCCGGCGGGUACGGUUCGGACCCAGCACGCCUCAGCCCAGUGGUGAGGGCGCGGUGUAGCCCCCUUACUACUGGGUGACUGGCUCGGCUGUGACUCAGGUUCUCGCUAAUGAAGGCUUUGUUGAAAUAGCUCCGCCUGAGCAGAGUGCAUGAACACGCACGCACACACACACACACACACACACACACACACACACACACACACACACACACACACACACACACACACACACACACACACACACACACAAACACACACACACACACACACACACACACACACACACACACACACACACACACGGGGGAACCGAAAACCACACUACGAAUAAGGAGCCUCCGAAAAAUCCCAUUCAGGUCAUGCGCACAAAUCAUGGGACUUCUAUUUUGAUAAUGAAACUUGGGAAAGAGGAGCUGAAUCAGAAAAACCGAGACAACAAUGGAUGUGGGGUGAGUGCCAAACCAACGCAAGCAGCUCGGGAAAACUCUCGGGCCGCGUUCCAACACACAAGUACUACACCCUCUGUCCUACUGGAGGUUCACUGGCCUUUCGUCGGGAACAAUGGGAGGAAAACAUCUGGAGGAUAAGGAAGCCAGGGUGAGGUGAGAGUUGCUGUGCUACUGUUGGGACGCAGCCGAUGACAUACAAGCAAAACAGCCAAGCCCCAACUCCUCGGGCCCUCCCGAUUGGUCGGUUAGGAGACACCUCUUACAUCACAGAGAGGAAUUAAUGACAUCAUUGCUGAUAAUGGCUCAUAAGAAAAAAAAAAACACGUAAUUCACUCUUUGCAAUUCAUAUUGCCAUAUCGACCAUAUCGCUCAU